UACGAGAGGCGCAAACGUUAUUCGGAAUUACUGGGCUUAAAGAGUUCGUAGGCGGCGCAGAAAGUAGGGUGUGAAAGCCCUCGGCUUAACCGAGGAAUUGCGCUCUAAACUACUGUGCUUGAGGGACCUAGAGGUGAGCGGAACUGAUGGUGGAGCGGUGAAAUGCGUUGAUAUCAUCAGGAACACCGGAGGCGAAGGGCGGCUCACUGGGGGUCUUCUGACGCUGAGGAACGAAAGCCAGGGGAGCGAACGGG
rnacentral:rRNA from 1 species